GACAGAGGGUGCAAACGUUGUUCGGAAUUACUGGGCGUAAAGCGCGUGUAGGCUGCCCUGCGUGUCGGAUGUGAAAGCCCUGGGCUCAACCCAGGAAGUGCAUUCGAAACUGCAGGGCUUGAAUCCUGGAGAGGAAGGCGGAAUUCUCGGUGUAGAGGUGAAAUUCGUAGAUAUCGAGAGGAACACCGGUGGCGAAGGCGGCCUUCUGGACAGUGAUUGACGCUGAGACGCGAAAGCGUGGGGAGCAAACAGG
rnacentral:rRNA from 1 species